rnacentral:rRNA from 1 species
UACGUAGGGACCAAGCGUUGUUCGGAUUUACUGGGCGUAAAGCGCGCGUAGGCGGCCACUUAUGUCGGAUGUGAAAGCCCCUGGCUCAACUGGGGAAGUGCACCCGAAACUGAGUGGCUGGAGUACGAAAGAGGGUCGGCGGAAUUCCCGGUGUAGAGGUGAAAUUCGUAGAUAAUUGGGAGGAACACCAGUGGCGAAGGCGGCAUCACUGGACCGGUACUGACGCUGAUGCGCGAAAGCGUGGGGAG